AGCGAAAUUUAGUAGCGAAGUAGCUGAUUUCACACUGUCAAGAAAAGUCUCUAUCGAGGUUAAAGGUACCCGUACCGCAAACCGACACAGGUGGGUGAGGAGAGUAUCCUAAGGCCAGCGAGAGAACUGUUGUUAAGGAACUCGGCAAAAUGACCCCGUAACUUAGGGAUAAGGGGUGCCACCAUCAGGUGGCCGCAGAGAAUAGGCCCAAGCGACUGUUUACCAAAAACAUAGG
rnacentral:rRNA from 1 species